rnacentral:rRNA from 1 species
GACGAACGCUGGCGGCGUGGAUUAGGCAUGCAAGUCGAACGGUAUCAUCCUUUCGGGGGUGAGAGAGUGGCGAACUGGUGAGUAACACGUAGGUUAUCUACCCUCAAGACGGGGACAACCCAGGGAAACUUGGGCUAAUACCGGAUGUGAGCAACUUUUAGUUGUUUGAAAGGUGGCGUAAGCUGUCGCUUGGGGAUGAGCCUGCGUCCUAUUAGUUAGUUGGUGAGGUAACGGCUCACCUAGGCAAUGAUAGGUAGGCGGCCUUAACGGGUGGUCGCCCACACUGGGAUUGAGAUACGGCCCAGACUCCUACGGGAGGCAGCAGUCGAGAAUAGUCUACAAUGGUCGGAAGACUGAUAGUGCGACGCCGCGUGAACGAUGAAUCCCUUCGGGGUGUAAAGUUCUUUUAUAUGUGAGCAGUGCUUCUUAUAUUAACAGUAUGGGGAGAGAGAUAUUAGCAUAUGAAUAAGCAACGGCUAACUCCGUGCCCAGCAGCCGCGGUAAGACG